GCCGCCGAAGUUCAGGAAGCCGCCUAGCCGCAGCUCAUGCAACAGGUAGCCCCGUAGGGACACCAGCUCUCCUAAAGCUGGUGUCGCAGGUUCGAAUCCUGCCUGGGGCA
rnacentral:tRNA from 1 species